AAAAAAAAGAAGAAGAAAGAAAGUCCAAGGAAGUGCACUCUGAUUUCUAAUUUUAUUUCUUGGCACUUCUGCACAGCAUCCGUCCAUCCUUAAUAAUCAGGUUCUCACAAAUUCUCAUUUCACUCAAAGGCUCUGUGGUGAUCAGCCUUGGGAACUGGGGGAGCCUCUGUCGUGCUUGAUGCAAAACUAUGGAAAGGAGGGUGGGUGCCAGCAGGAAAUGGGUGGGAAUCUCUGAGAAGGUCAUGGAGAGAUGCUCUCUCCACCAGUCACCAGAAGAGGGUGUCUUUUCUAUGUGAAUCAUGAACAAAUGGUCUCAUGCUUGGGCCCAACGCCAACCUUUCAUUGAGUCCUGGAUCCCUUCUUUUGCUGACUGAUGGACGAGACUCACUUGCUCUCUGUAAAAACUAAACACACCUCUUCCUUGACUAUCAUUCACCAGAUAUUGCUUCUUAUCUUUGCCUAGUUUUUUAGCAAAACCUUUUGGAAGGAGUGUCUGCACCAUUCCCACCUCCCCUCAUCCAGCUCCUAGGGGUUUGAUGCCACUCAAGUCUGACUGGUUCCCACCUCUCCACCAACAGGACCCCUGUCCAUAUGAGAUCAUAAUGCACCUGCAUGACCUCACUCAGCCCUUCAUCUGCCCAUUGUUGAUCUGACCUGGCCCCUAAUUGUGAGGCCUUGGGCAGCUGCCUUAGGGGUCCCUGCCAGAUGGACAGGCAGCAGUCCACCUGAGAAGAGUGAAGGAACCCAUUGCAAGUAUUCCAGCUCUUGAUGGGAGAAGCUAACAGCUGUGUGAUCUCUGGGACCCGGAAGUCGCCUAAGAAGCCCUUCUUACAUUGGGUUGAUCCCCUGGGAGAAAUGUUAGCUAGACCACAACCCUGCCUGCAGAGGGACUGGCCAGCCACUGACUCCCCUGACGUCCCUGAUUCUGAGACACGACUCAGGAGAAUGGUCACCUGCCUCCGUGGAUGUGCACUGAAGAACCAGCCACCGCCAGACACUACCCGUUCAUCCCAUAAUCUCAGAAAUUUACUCACGAUGAGGCUCCUAUUCCUCCUCCUCCUCCUCCUCGUUUGUUUCUCACAGACGGUGUCAGGCUAUGAAAAAAGAAAGAAAAACAAGGAAUGUGAAGACAUGGGGGGCGCCUGCAAGCACCAGAAGACCCACGGGUGCUCCAUCCUGCCUGCAGAGUGCAGGAGUCGGAACAAGCACUGCUGCAGAGUCUAGCUCCCACACCACGGCGCCCCACCCCCCAGCCCCGCUGCUCGCCCUGCUGACUGCUCAAUAAAGGCCUACCACUCACGCGGGUCCUGGACUGGGUCUUUCCUGGAUGGGCAUGCUCAAAUGGCAGGCCGUUGAAUGGGGAGGGGGGAGCAUUUAAGUUCUAUGGUUGCUUACACCACUAACCAGCUGGUUGACUUCGAACAAGGCCGUUCCUUCUCUAGUUCUCAGUCUCUGUACCUGCAACUAUUGAAACUGUUGUUCUCCAAGCCGCCUGCAAUCUGUUCAUUCUCUGCUGGAAGCCUGGCCUCUGGGGCCUCAACCACCACCCCAUCCCUCCUGAUGUCUCCUAAACCACAAUCUCCAUUCUCGAUCUCCUGCAGACUCUAGACAGGGACCCACUCCUGGAAACCCCCAACAUCCAAUGAGUCAAAGAUAACAGCAACCUCUUCUCCCUCCCUCUCCACCUCCAAGGACCAACUCCUCAUGCUUCUACUCUCAAAUGUAUUGUCCAUAACUGACCUCCCCUGCCUGUCAUUGGCAAUGUCUUACUUCCUACCCUUCAUCUCCAACAUUUCCACUUCAACUGUUGCAUAAUAUCUCAUGUGGCCUAUGGAUUUCUCAUUUCUCCAUCUCCUCUCCACACCCUCAUUUAAAAUUCUCUCAUGUUUCCCUGCGGCUUAAAAGGUAAAAAUUUUCUUUAGAGUCCUCCAUCCAUUGGCCACACUUUCUCUAGCUUCAUCUCUUACCAUAUUCUGGUUCGAGACCCACCCCUAACUGGGGGCAGUCACAUCUUCAGUACUGUGCCCUUGCGCAUUUUGUUCUCUUCAUCUUGGAACUUAUGUUACUUCUCCUUCAACUUUCCCUGCCUAAUUCUCACCCAUGUUUUAAGAUCCAGCUCCUAGUCACCUUGUGGGAUCAUUCCUGACCCAUCCAACUUGGAUAAGACUUCCAUGCUGUGUGUCUCAGCAGAGGAGACCUCAAACCCACGUCCCCAGCGAUCUAUGGGGGCAGCCGGUCAUUGGGUAGCAACAAAGUAAAUGAACCAACGAGUGAAGAAAAGGCUAUCAGGAGGUCUCAGCCUUUCGAAUUACUCAGCGCAGAAGGUUACGGUGAAGUCUCCAUUUAUUUAAUGCAGGGCUCACACAUCACAGGCAGACCCUUCAGCUCACUUCACUCGGAUGCAGCAGAAACUCCUCCCAGGGCAGAACCCUGGCAUGCGCAAAAUGCAAUUUUUCUUCCUCCUCAGGCACACGCUUAUCAUGGAGUCGCAGAACCCGUGCAUGUCUCUGUACCCACAGCCUGAAGAAAGAACCAAAAUGUGGGGAGGCAGAGCUCUCAUGCAGGAGAAGGAAACAUUCAGUCCAACCAGGAACCCCCAAACUUGACUGCUCACAAACCCAUUCUGUCUGAGGCACCCCCUCUUCCCAUCUGCCCUUUCUGCAUUUUCGUUGGGCAGGAGGACGAGGCCAGCCUUCACGGUGGCCAUGACAGAAAUGUCUGUGCUGCCAUGGGAUCUGGGAGGAGGCACUGUGCCCACUCUUUUUGGGGUGAUAGUCCCUGACCCUGAUGUGCUCUGGCGGCUGUCACUGUGGAGUAGUCAGCCAUGUCCUUUAGAAGCAAACAUGAACAUCGAUGUCUUCAACCACCUGGAGAGAAUCCCACUGAGAAUAGGAUGACACUACAGCCCCUCCUCUGGGAAAGGAGGAGCUACAGGCGUGUUCAUUCCAACAUGUAAACAUGCACGACACACCUCAGAGCAUGUGAGGCAUGUCAGCCACCCUCUGAAGUUCACCCAUGUUCCCAGGCGUAAAACAACCCCUCCCUCACCUGCCUUCAGGACGUAACAGAUAUGCCUUAAAAAAUGAAAUUAAAGACCUAAAAUUCACGUCUCUAAAGAAAAAGACCCAGAGGAAUUGGGGGCAGGAGCCGAGGUGAGAGGUUUCUAGAAGAGAGAAAAAUACCUACAGCACUUGACUCAAAGCCUCCUGGAAAAGACUCCUUUUCCUUCCUGCUAGAAGGUGAGAGGGCUGCACUCGGCCCCACAGAGCAAGGGUCUCAGCAGUCCCCCGUCCAGCCUGUCCACUACGGGCAUCAGCAGAAAGUCACCACCCUUGGGACCCAGGAGGCAGAGGUCCCGGGGUGGCUCUCAUUGGCCUCAGACUGGCCAUAGGGCCAAAGGCUCUUGCUCCCUGACUUCACCCACUCACAGACCUCAGCCCUUUGUCCUUGAUGGCACCUGCCCUGAGCCACCCACACGCUGCCAGGGAGUGUGAGGGCCAGGCUUUAGCAGAACUUCAGGACGUGCUUGUCAGCAGUCUUUGUAGCCCAUCCUCCGGCCAGAGGCUGCCAGGAAAGGACCACUCACACCUACCCUGUGCUUCCUCAGAGGACUAUGCCCGAGGCCUCAGACACUUCGACCAUCUCUGGGAAGCACCCCCAAUCCUGUGCCCCGGGGCAGCACCCAGGGGAAUGUCACGGGAGGUGUCCUGACAGUUCUUUCCCUGUGCUUCCCUAAAGGGCCCCUUCCUGCCACCCACAAUUCACCUUCCCUCUCUGAUUGAAAAGCAGCUCAAGCUGAGGACAUUGUUGGGGCCACUAUUCUGAGUGUCACAACAAAACCCAUCACAACUCCCAGGGGGUCACAGUGAACAGGCUGUUAACCCAGAGGACCGUGGCUGGGGACAGGCCCCUCCCUCCAGCUCCUGUCAGCUCCUGUCUAUAGAAGUGUGAAUUAGCACAUGGAGCCGUGAGCCCUGAGAUGAAGAGUGAAACAUGUGAUUAGAUGAAUAGGUUUCUAUUAGUGCAGAACACAAGGGAGGAACAGAGUUGGGGGGACAAGGACUAGGGGGUGAGCACAGUGCACAGCGGCCUCAGUGCCCUGCCUGACCCCUGGGCUGAGCCCUCACAAGCCACCUUUCUCUCCGGAUCCAGGUGUGCUCACACUCCACCCCUGGGCCGGCUGUGACACUGGGCACUUCUGUGCUGCAGGGGACGGACAGGCAGGGGGCAGACCCCAGCCUCCCUCUCUGCUCAUCCCUCCAGCCCUGGAGCAAGAUACAGAGCAGCACAUACCCCUGUUUCUCCCAGGUGCCACAGUUCUAAGUAUGUGAACUGCCUGCUUUUGCAAAACCUCUCAGCUUCUCUUUCUGCUCCUGCAGCCAGCCAUCCAACACGAUACCCAUAGCUGAGGCAGAAGCUUAAAGAGAGGAGAGCAUGUGUGUGAGGGUGUCAUCAGAUGGGAUGGGAAAGCAGGUGCCCAGGUACGGACUUCACUGACAGGUGCCCAGGUGCAGACCUGAAGGUGCUAACCCUGCCACUCCCUUGAGAGGCUGCCCUUUCCUCGCUGUUCCUGGUGAGCAUCCCUACACUGGCUCCGGGGCCCGGGGGUCCUUCUGCAAGUGGAGUGGUGGGAGGAAGGACAUGGGGUUCAGAUAUGAGAAGGCAGUGCCAGUGAGGGCUUACCUGGUGUCACCUGAGACAGGAAGAAGACAGCGAAGAUGAGGACAUAAACCAGCUUCAUGGGGCCGGUUCUGUGGGGACCGCUUUUGGAACUCCUGGGAGGAGAAAACAGGUGCAUGACCAUGUUAUUGGAUAAAAAGUAGCUUAAAGCUUCCCCAUACAGAUCCAACCAGGGCGACUCACUGCAGGAGAGAGUGCCCAGUUUUGGCCAGAGCACUCGCUGAAUGUACAGUGAGCAGUGAAGCCCAUGAAAUGAACGGGCACAAUGGUGAGCAAGCUCCAUGCAGAGCUGGGCGAUGCCCUUUGUUCCCGCCAAGGACCCUGGCAAAUGCAGCAGUGGUCAUGGAGGUAAAAGAAUGGCUGCAGCAAGUUGAUGUUACUCUAUGAAUGCGCUGGAGAGUAUAUGGCUUUCUCCCCAUUUACUCUCCUGGAACUUGGAUGAUCUGCUGCGUGAACUUGGGCACACACAGUGCCAAUGCCACCUCCCAUAUUACCACUAAGGGCGCUGGCACUCAGCAGAACGAAGCCGUCACUCACCUCUCAGACUCACCUCCCAGCUCCGCUCCCUCCUCAGACCCCCGCAGCCUCUUGUAUGCGCAGAGAGGCCGUGUCACUGGGUCACAUGCUCUGACUGGGGCCUGGUCCUGCCCGAUCUGACCAGUGACAUCGGCCUUUUGUCCCAGGGUGACUCUGCUGACUCAGGUCAUUGUCCAGGCCACAGUGAGAUCUCAUGACCCAUCAACCUCGUGGCCAUGGUCCUUGCACGGAUGCCUGGCUUAGCUUUGGGGAGGUGCCGGAAGAGGGGUUUUCCUCCUGACCCAAAGCCAGAGUGAAAGUCAGGCCUCCGCCCACGCCAGAUCCUAGUCUGCAGGCCCCUCAUCUGACUUCACCUGCUAUGUCUGUUCUCUGUCCCAGGUGUGGCCCGCUGACCCUACCUUCGAGACCCAGGGAGCUGGGGUUGAGAUUUCUCUUGUUUUUAACCGGAAAAUCCUGGGCUCCUCAUGAGAGGUGAUGCCCCUCUUUCUGAAGGAACCUCGAACUCGUCCACAGCAAGCAUCUUCAGAAGUGGCCAGCGUAGGCACUCUGUGCCAUUCCCUCCUGUUUCCAGGUCAUGGUUGACGUCUGACGUGUGUUUCUGUAAUAAGAGGCCGACCGAGAAGAGCACAUGGAAGGCAUCUGCCUUCCUGCAGCCAGAGGCCUACCGUCUGCUUCACGCAGACACCAAUGCCAUCCCCAGUGCACACACGAGGAAGAGAAGAAGAGACCUGAAUGGUGGUGAAAUUUGUACGUAGCAAAGCCCACGUUAGAAUCAGGAACCAGGCCCCAGACCUGAGUUCUAGUCUGGUCUCCUGCGGAAGGACCUCCUAGUCCCUUCACACGGGGAUUAGCUUCAGAUCACGGUGGCUAUCAGUUCACAUCUAAGAAUAAAUUGGCUGAUAAUGUUCCAUUGACUCAUGAGAAUUUGGAAAUUUGAGGUUCAAAAUAAAGGUUUUUGUGAUAUUAA